ACCCCAUAAGGAUACCAGGAGAGAGCAAGCCGCUACUUUUGUUUUUGCUUUGCUGAACUGCAUGAAGGUCCAUGCAAGGGAGAAUGCCAAAAGUAUACAUUAGUUUGUCAAACUCUGGUACAACUGAACCAUGGUUGAUUCACCAAAAUGUAAGUAUAACGUAAGUAUAAAUUAACUCAUUUUUUGUUCUGAAAUUGGACUAGUGGGUUACAUCUUUAGGUACAUUUGUGUAGGGGUCCAUCUGAUCAGAUGGAUCAGUCCAGUUUGGUCAUCCAUGUGUGUAUAGUAAGUUUGCAUAACUUUUAUGUGUGUAGCGAGUUCCUUCCAUGACCUGUGUGAAUGUUUCUGUAUAGCCACAGACCAUUAUACCAUCAGCUUUAAAGUUAAUAUCCCUUAUGUUGAAAUUUUUGUUCUUGUAGAUUUAUUAUUUGUCUUUGACUAUUUAGCUAUAUAUGUCAGUCUAGAGAUCGUUUUGUACAAAAUCUUCAAAAAAAUAUUCUCUGUUUCUGGGAUUUAUUGCGAUUUAAAAAAACCAAGGAAGGCGGUCCAUUAUGACAAACA